GAUUUUUUGAAUUACCUACCAACGGAGAUCGUUCUUACAAUCCUUUCGCUAUUGAUUGAUCGCCUAGACUGAUUCGAAUAUCUUCCGUUAGUGGCACCUGAUACCAUUUUGAUUUCUUGAAUUAUCUACCAAGUGAGAUUGUUCUUACAUUCCUCACGCUAUUGAUUGAUCCCCUAGACUGAUUCGAUUGUCUUCCGUUUGUCGCACCUGGUACCAUUUUGAUAUUUGGUGGAAUCGUGCUCUUCUUGUUUGAUUUGGAUAAUCUAAGCAGAAUAAUCAUCAAUCAAUGGAUAAGAGAAGGGAAUUGCCAUCUCCGUCAAUGACCAAUAUGGACGACGGAAGGGCUGGUUCAUUGAGCACUGAC